rnacentral:rRNA from 1 species
CCUACGGGUGGCAGCAGUGAGGAAUAUUGGUCAAUGGGCGUGAGCCUGAACCAGCCAAGUAGCGUGAAGGAUGACUGCCCUCCGGGUUGUAAACUUCUUUUAUAAGGGAAUAAAGUGCGGCACGUGUGCCUUUUUGUAUGUACUUCAUGAAUAAGGACCGGCUAAUUCCGUGCCAGCUGCCGCGGUAAUACGGAUGUUCCGAGCGUUAUCCGGAUUUAUUGGGUUUAAAGGGAGCGUAGAUGGGUUGUUAAGUCAGUCGUGAAAGUUUGGGGCUCAACCGUAGAAUUGCAAUUGAUACUGGCAGCCUUGAGUACAGGUGAGGUAGGCGGAAUUCGUGGUGUAGCGGUGAAAUGCUUAGAUAUCACGAAGAACUCCGAUUGCGAAGGCAGCUUACUGAACGGCCACUGACGUUGAUGCUCGAAAGUGUGGGUAUCAAACAGGAUUAGAUACCCGAGUAGUC